ensembl:lncRNA
UUUCAAGAUACCGAUUCAGUUUAUCUGCAGGGUAUCUAAUUUACAGCGAAGCCCCGGGACCGCUGUCAUCGGCACUGGUAGGAGUGAGAUCACAGCCCGAGGAUUCAUUCAUUUUCUGAGAAAGUAGAUUUUAGUACAGCAAAGAACUCACAUAAGGACUUCUAUGAAGAAUAAGUUCCUUGAUCAAAAAUAAGAUGGUACAUCGCCUUAGAGGGCAGUCAUCUGGAUCUGAAGCAAGAGUGAAUGACUCUCCCUGGACUUCUGGGGGGAAUACAGGCAUCUAGUGAUGGCACUGUUUCUUUCCAAGUCUAUUUCUUGAGUAAAAAUCCUCUCUCUGAAACCUCCAUACGUAGUGCCAGAAAUGAACCAUUACACGUCGGGGCAGCACACAACUCCUCAGUGCACACAUACACACACACAAGCUGAUUUGUGCUUAUACCACAGAUAGCUCCAUCAGUCCAAUUCAAUUUCAAGAUGCACAUCAGCUCUAUUAGUUUAGGUGAUGCACUGGUCAGGUACCCUAUAUUCAGUGACUGCGUGGUGCCCAUUUCUGAAGCUACCAAACAGUCUAAGCAGAUUUUUCGUUUGUUUGUUUUGUUAAAGAAAUACUGUGAGGAAAUAAGCCAAUCUGCAGUGAGAAAAAGCUACCUUAUCAGGUUACAGCAACUAAAAACUCUGUAUGGAGGAAGAAGUUUAGGGAUUACAUUUCUAGAGGAAGUGGAGGCUACUCAUUUUGGUUAGGAGCCUAUUCCUUCCAAUAGUUACACAUGAAAUUCAGUUAAGUGAUAGUUACUUCUGUAUGCACACACUUUGAUACAAGUGACCCCAAAGUACCCACAGGUGGGCACGUGAACAUUAAGUGACCCAGUGGUGGGAACUCACUAAAAGAGCUGUUUUUCAGCUCAAAACUGUGCAGCACGUGGAGGCUAUAAAAGUGUACUACAACAAAAACACUAAACUGUAUUGCGUGGUUAAUACACGCCAUCACAGUGAAGCCCUGUAAUGCAUCCUUUGCCACUUUUUCUCAUAUUAUGAGAAUACUUUUUAAGGGCUUCAUCAUCCCCAGCAGCAGAAACUGCCUUCUGGAAAGAACAAGACCCGAAGCAUUAUCUGACAGUAUCUGUUCACCUGCAGAGUAUGUGCAUGAAAGGCAACAACACAACUCUGCUCCUUUGGACGUGAGAUGGGGCAAUUAAGAGAAGAGAAUACUCAGUAAAUCUCCAGAGCAAUUCCUUUCUCAGCCCUUCUGCUAAGUAUUCAGAUUGGAAAAAGAUUUUCAGAAUUACACGGGGAGGAGUCCAAAAUUCAGUUGAUCAACAGCCAGUGAUUCAGAUAUUAAAUUUUUUGUGAUCCAUCGCUUCAUCUCUCUCUGAGAUUGCCUCAUGGGGAAACACUACAAAAUAAAACUUCAAUACUACCAUAAGCUCCAAAUAAAGCUUUUCUCUUUGAUUGCCUCUAUCUCAUCUGUCUGCUUAGAUUUGUGUGUCUAGUUAAGUGAAUACAGAAGACCAUACACUUGAAAUGAAAACUACACAGAGUACACUCUUGACUUGUUACCAUAAUUUACCUUCUAAGUGGAACCUCUUAUGAGCCUACUCAAUUAUAUUAAAAAUGACUGUGCGUUUAUUUCGACACAGUGUACACACUGAAACACGCAUUCUAAAAUCCCGAGCUGAUGUAAAAUUGCAGAGCCUCAUCAAAAUGCAGAGGGCAUUCCUGAUUUACACCAGCACAUGCAGGGCCCCCAGAACCUUUCACACCGCAACACUUUUCCCGUGGGGAGCAAUACCAGUGCUAAGCAAUAAAAAGAAGUUGGUUUUAUAUCUAAUGUUGAUUUCUUCUCCAAUCUGAGACUUUAUUUCAUGCUUUUUCGUGCAACAAUACCUUGAAUGCACGGCAGAUUUACACUGAAAAACAGAGUUUAAAAAUACUUGUUAAAUGCUGAAGGCUUGACAGUUCCUUUAAAUAAUACUGAAAAAAUGCACGAGAACAUUUUGGUAGUGGAAUGAAAAAUGCUACGGUUUACAGCUCUA